UCUUCACAAAAUGAUUGCCUGGUACUCGGCUUCCGCUGCAGCCGCCAAUAUGUCACAUCGAGUGGUCAUUGUCUGGCACCCUCAUCCUUCUGGUUUAUAGUCAGCCACUUAAAAUUAGUUAUAUACGGAGAAGCUGUUUUGCGGUGCCCACUAAACCAUCGACGCGCUUAUCGGUUUUUUGCGAGAACGCGGUUGAGAGGAAGCUUACACGAGUUCAGCAGCUAGUUGCUGGUGCAAAACCUUAGCCAGUCCCUGCAGAAUCGCCGGGUUGGAAAUGGCGUUCCCAAGGAGCCCUGCUUCCACCGUGAGCAGCUAUGCUUCUACUCCGACGCUGAGUAGCUGCCCCAGCUCCUCCAUCUCCACAGGCUGCAGCACCCCUGCCACCCCAAACCCCUUUGCCGUCGCGGCAAUAAGCCCCACCCCAAUCCAGCACAUAGUUCCAGCCGGACGUGCCGGUGAUCACAAGCCGGCGCUAGCAGCCACAGGAACUCCUGAAUUCACACAGGGAAAGAAGCUUCAGCAGCAUCAGGAUCUUCUGGAAUCAGCAGCGAAGUUCCCUAAGCAAGAAAACCCAGCACUAGCAAUCACAGGAGGUACGGAAUUCAUACAGGGAAAGACUCUUCAGCAGCAUCAGGAUCUCCUUGAAUCAGCAGCGAAGUUCCCUAAGCAAGAAAUCAAUGGCUGGGAGCAUCCAGACCUCUGUUCACCAUCAAAGCUGCUCAAGAACGUAAGUACUUCUAUCAAGGAGAUCGGUCGCUGGGCAAGAUCUUCAACGGGGUUAAAGGUGAACUCAAAUAUCCGGCUCUUGGAGUCGGUAUUUUCCUUGAUACAAGUGGUAACUUCGACAGCACCACACCCAGAUCACGUGGUUGCUAUGAUACGAGUCCACGAAGCGCUUGCUAACCUGUUGCUGGUCCUGCCCAAGAAUAUAUUCCCUUUCCUGUUGCAACAUUUCGCUCAGUUUGUAGAUGAGUUAUGCCCGAAAAGAGGUGCAUCACUAUCAGAAAGGUUUGGAAACGCACUGCAUGAUUUGCGAAGAAGCAUAAGGAGGGGCCUUCGAGUACUCAAAGACAUGAUCUUUGACUAUAAAUCUGACGUAGUCCCCCAAGGUGGCGGUAUCCAUGAGAUCACCAGAUACUUGUUAAAAUACAUCAUGUCACUUCUGGACAAUGGCACCUCUCUCAAGAUCAUACUUGUUGGUGAUGAACAGGAUGACAAGGUUGCAAUGGAGACGCUGCAAGAUACUGUUGCUACCUUGAUCUCUCACAUGGAAAUUAUGCUUGAGAAAGAAUCUCAUCGAUAUAAAGAUGCAGGGUUGAAACAAAUGUUCAUGGUGAAUAAUGUGAACUUUUUGUUGCAUCAAGUAGAAGGCUCAGAGAUAAGGAAUCUUCUAGGAGAUGAUUGGGUUCUGAAGCACCGAGACCAACUAAAGGACCACAUCUCAUCGUUCAUCAACAUUUCUUGGGAAUCUGUCAUGUAUUGCUUCCAUGUAAAGACCAACAAAAUCCCAAUCUUUUCUAGCCUACCAACACUGCAAAUAUUUAACAUGGAAUUUGAGAAAACUUACUGGACUCAGAAGACAUGGAAAGUUGAAAAUCCUCUGCUCCGGUCCAACAUGCGUAAAUCAGUAUCAGAGAAGCUUGUUCAGGCUUACAGUGCAUACCUUGAGAAUCACAAAAACAAGUAUCAAAGGCUUAUGAAGUACACCAUCGAAGAUCUUGAAGAGCUGCUGUCAGAUCUGUUUGAAGGAUAAUGGUCAUAGCUAGAAAGAGGACGAAGCGCAGAUGCAUGUUAAAAAUACUAGUGCAACACGUCUGAAGGAUAAAUAAUCCCUUGAGCUAGGAUGAAGAUCAGAAGCAUGCCCUCAAAGCUUGUGGAGUAAAUAUCGAACUGUAACUGGCAUAUCCUUGAUAUGUUAGGAUUGAACUGUACCUGAGAUUUUGCAGACCAGAAGGUACAUAUAACUUUAUUGCCACCUCUGCUCCAAAAUAGAUGCCACUUGGACAAUGACAUGGUUCAAAGUAUAUACCUAUGAGACUUUGCUAUUUUUGACUAAACUCUCAUAAGGAUGCUCCAACUUAAAUGGAAUAGGACCUAUAAACUGUCAAGUAUUUGUAAAAUACUGGAGCACCAUCCGGUUGGCCUAUAUUUUACCAAGCU